rnacentral:rRNA from 1 species
GACGGAGGCUGCAAGUGUUAUCCGGAAUCACUGGGCGUAAAGCGUCUGUAGGUGGUUCGAAAAGUCCACUGUUAAAAAUUGAGGCUUAACUUCAAAGAUGCCGUGGAAACUUUCAAACUAGAGUAUGGUAGGGGUAGAGGGAAUUUCCAGUGGAGCGGUGAAACGCGUAGAGAUCAGGAAGAACAUCGGUGGCGAAGGCGCUCUGCUGGACCAUAACUGACACUCAGGGACGAAAGCUAGGGGAGCGAAUGGG